AUGUUUACAGGAAGGAGCCCGACGGAAGGCACAUUCAGAGAUUCAUUGGAUCUGCAUAAGUUUGUCGAGGAUGCUCUUCCAGAUAGAACCUUGGAGAUAGCUGACCCAACGAUGUGGCUGCACAGACAACAACAUGAUAACACCACAAGUAUUAGAAUCCAGGAGUGCUUGGUUUCAGUUUUCAGGCUUGGCAUAUCCUGCUCGAAACAACAGCCUCGAGACCGAGCACUGACGAGAGAUGCAGCGGCAGAGAUGCAUGCAAUCAGAGAUGCAUACCUCAAGUGUGGGGUCUCACUUACCAGCACAGGAGGAGACCCAAGGCAGCUGCAGCAGGAGAGUGUGCAAUAUUAG
rnacentral:rRNA from 1 species